GGGAACUUGGUCUGAUGGUAAAACCCUUGACUCUAGACCAUGAGGUCUUUGGUUCAAAUCUCAAAUCUCCUA